rnacentral:rRNA from 1 species
CUUGCUCUGUGGGAUCAGUGGCGAACGGGUGAGUAACACGUGAGCAACCUGCCCCUGACUCUGGGAUAAGCGCUGGAAACGGCGUCUAAUACUGGAUAUGUGACGUGACCGCAUGGUCUGCGUUUGGAAAGAUUUUUCGGUUGGGGAUGGGCUCGCGGCCUAUCAGCUUGUUGGUGAGGUAAUGGCUCACCAAGGCGUCGACGGGUAGCCGGCCUGAGAGGGUGACCGGCCACACUGGGACUGAGACACGGCCCAGACUCCUACGGGAGGCAGCAGUGGGGAAUAUUGCACAAUGGGCGAAAGCCUGAUGCAGCAACGCCGCGUGAGGGAUGACGGCCUUCGGGUUGUAAACCUCUUUUAGCAGGGAAGAAGCGAAAGUGACGGUACCUGCAGAAAAAGCGCCGGCUAACUACGUGCCAGCAGCCGCGGUAAUACGUAGGGCGCAAGCGUUAUCCGGAAUUAUUGGGCGUAAAGAGCUCGUAGGCGGUUUGUCGCGUCUGCUGUGAAAUCCCGAGGCUCAACCUCGGGCCUGCAGUGGGUACGGGCAGACUAGAGUGCGGUAGGGGAGAUUGGAAUUCCUGGUGUAGCGGUGGAAUGCGCAGAUAUCAGGAGGAACACCGAUGGCGAAGGCAGAUCUCUGGGCCGUAACUGACGCUGAGGAGCGAAAGGGUGGGGAGCAAACAGGCUUAGAUACCCUGGUAGUCCACCCCGUAAACGUUGGGAACUAGUUGUGGGGUCCAUUCCACGGAUUCCGUGACGCAGCUAACGCAUUAAGUUCCCCGCCUGGGGAGUACGGCCGCAAGGCUAAAACUCAAAGGAAUUGACGGGGACCCGCACAAGCGGCGGAGCAUGCGGAUUAAUUCGAUGCAACGCGAAGAACCUUACCAAGGCUUGACAUAUACGAGAACGGGCCAGAAAUGGUCAACUCUUUGGACACUCGUAAACAGGUGGUGCAUGGUUGUCGUCAGCUCGUGUCGUGAGAUGUUGGGUUAAGUCCCGCAACGAGCGCAACCCUCGUUCUAUGUUGCCAGCACGUAAUGGUGGGAACUCAUGGGAUACUGCCGGGGUCAACUCGGAGGAAGGUGGGGAUGACGUCAAAUCAUCAUGCCCCUUAUGUCUUGGGCUUCACGCAUGCUACAAUGGCCGGUACAAAGGGCUGCAAUACCGUGAGGUGGAGCGAAUCCCAAAAAGCCGGUCCCAGUUCGGAUUGAGGUCUGCAACUCGACCUCAUGAAGUCGGAGUCGCUAGUAAUCGCAGAUCAGCAACGCUGCGGUGAAUACGUUCCCGGGUCUUGUACACACCGCCCGUCAAGUCAUGAAAGUCGGUAACACCUGAAGCCGGU